AGCUUCAGGUUCUGUCCUUGCUCUCUGGGCAUCCAUGUACCUUCUCGUAAUUUCAUGAUGUUUGGAUGCUGCAAGGUGGGGGCUGGGGAGCAACGAUCCCGCCUGGUCUGUUCUACCGGACAUCUACAGCUUUGUACAGGGGGUGAUAGGACACGACAGCUGGCUUCAUGGCUCCAGUGUAGAUGAAAUCCUGAUUAGCAACAUCCCCUGCCCCCACCCUGGGACCUGGUUUGUAAGCAGAAGAGAAGAGGAAGAGAAGGGUGCUGGCUGCACAACAGAUAUAUCCCAGGGAUCCUGGCAUUAUAUUUCUCAUUAUAAAAUUUGCCUUCUUGCGUAAUGUGUUUCCAGAGACUUUGAUUGCUGGUAUAUCCCUCUUCUGCUCCUUCCAGAAGGUACACUUCCUCUUCAUCUGAUCAACAAAUUAAGCUUCCAAGAUGAAAGAGUUUCAGGGCCCGAACCUUGGAGAAAUCAUCAAAGCCAAGGCCACUUUGUUUCCCUGAUGACACCUCUGGUCCCUCAGCACGUCCUUCUCUUUCAGACAUUUACAGUUACAUGUGAUCACCAUUAAUAUUU